CAGGACUUGGAACAAGUGAACAUUAUUGACUCAUUGGUGUGAUAGUCAGGGACCCACGAGGGUGAAACAGAUCCUGCUAAAAGAUGAAUGAAAGUGCCCAAGGGCAUCCAUGAACUCUGGUGAGACAGAAGGAGCAGGACCUGUGCAGUGAGCAUGGAAAUGGGAACUUUCCAUGACACACAGGCUGUGAGCGAGUUUCACUGGAACCACUCAUCUGAGAGCUCGGCCUCUCUCGUCUGUCUGUUUACCAGUUUAGACCCUCAAGGGGAAAAAACUAUUUUUGUCUCCUGUUUCAUGUCUUCAGGAACAUUUGCUAACUUAAGGCAUCAGCUGUCAGAGCUGCAGGAACUUCUGGAAACCACUUAGGCCCUCCAGCCGAGCCCGAUGUUACAGAUGAGGAAACUGAGACACAGGGAGGCUCCAAGGACACGCUGGUAGUGUCUCUGACAGCUAGCCCAGGGCCUUUCAACCUGGCGAGACAUGAAAAUCUCUGCUCCCUGUGCCAGGAGUGGCCUGAUCAUUAGAACAAGACAUUUCGAAGAAAGCUGCCUGUUUACCAUCGUGACCCCCAAACAAAACUUGAAGGAUACCAGUAACUUUUCACAUCAUUUUAAAGAAACAAAGGUUGGUGCUUUAUUUUUGCAAAGGGUAAAAUAUACCAUCAUUUUUGUUCUUUCCCCAACGCAGAAAGGAGACAGUCUACUGGACAGGAGAAAACUCUAGGGCGAGUUGCCAUUUUCAGUUUAUCCCCACGGACAUUUGAACCAAACGACUUGAGUCCUGACCCCUUCGUCCCUAUAGUCCCCCACAGUAAACGCAUCAACUCAUCACAAAUGAGCAGAGACACAUUGGUCUCCUCGGCCAGGUAGCAUCCACAUUCGCGACAGGUGUGCUCCUGCCACCAGGUCCCUGUCCCUCCCUCAGGGGUCCAGACAGGGCCGGACACAGGGGUGGCAGCAUGGUGCCGCCUUUGGUGGCGGGUAGCAGCUCUCUCACCUGUGGGCUCACCAGGCCAGGGCCGUGUCCUUCACCGAGGUGACGGAGGUCUCCUGCUGUCCCUGCAGACGCCGACGAACAGCCCUCGGUGAUAAAGGACCGGGACACGGAGCAAAGGGCCCCUGUCCCCUGCGUCCGGCCCACAGGGUGAACCACAGGCGGGUGUCCGGGCUCAGAGGCCUUCUCUCCAGCCCCGGAGCUUCUUCUGCCGGCCCCUGGGCGCCGGCUGGCCCGGGACGCGGGGCCGAGGCUUCUGAGGGAACAGGCCACCUCUCUCUGCUCCCCUUGCCGCGCCCACAGCCUGGCCCCUGGGACCCAGGACCUCUCCGCACGCCCCACCCAACCUGGCCAUGGAGCAGAAGGCGGGACAAGACCCUUGGGAGCGGCCCUUUGGCGCCAUUGGCGGUUCACAUGCGCGUGGCGGGCGGUCACGGGCACGCGCUUUCUUUGGCCGUGUGCACAGGGCCAGGAAGCGAGCCCGGCCGACCUUGGGGUCCGCCCAUGUCCGCCGCUGGAGGGAGGCCGUGCGGCCCCGAGCGCGUCCCCGCCACAGCCCGCGGGGAGAUCCCGGCCAUGGCCAUGCCAAGCUGGGCUGCUGCAGCCCCACCACCCGCCCCUCAGGGGACAGUGGGGAAACGGAGGCCAGGAGCGCCAGGGACUGGCUGGGCCCUUGAGCUGGGCAGAGGCCCCAGGACAAGAAAUAGAGCCUCCUCCCGUUUGCAUCGCGGCGUCUGUGUUUCCGUUCACUGGCUUAUUCAUCCACUCAUUCACUCAUGGCCUCACUCACUCACUCAUUCAUCCAGUCAUUCAUUCAUUCAGGCCUUCACUUGUUCCUCAUCCGUUCAUUCGUUCAGGGCCGCAGCCUCAGCAGAGCCCGCAAGGAGUGCCCAGGAUGCAGAUGCGGGCUCCUGUCCCGCUCGAGACAUCUCAGGACGUUUGUGUGGAGGGACACAAAGAGGUCCACUCGGGACACGGAGUCCAGCUCCCCGAGGGAAGAGAAGCUGGGCAGGAACAGCGUAGCGGCAGGCGUGGGGAAAAGGCUGCCGUCCUCAGGGACUGUUGGACAAGGAUCAGAGCCUGCACAGCACCCAGCCUGUGUGCGGGGAGCACAAUCACAUCCAGCAGCUCCUGCAGAAGGGCAGGAGACAAGCGGCGCCCCAGG
ensembl:lncRNA